UACGGAGGAUCCAAGCGUUAUCCGGAUUUAUUGGGUUUAAAGGGUGCGUAGGCGGAUUGAUAAGUUAGAGGUGAAAUGUCCGAGCUCAACUCGGGAACUGCCUCUAAUACUGUUGAUCUAGAGAGUAGAUGCGGUAGGCGGAAUGUAUGGUGUAGCGGUGAGAUGCUUAGAGAUCAUACAGAACACCGAUUGCGAAGGCAGCUUACCAAUCUAUAUCUGACGUUGAGGCACGAAAGCGUGGGGAGCAAACAGG
rnacentral:rRNA from 1 species